UCCAACUCAGCAAGGGGCGCCUGGUC
rnacentral:piRNA from 1 species